rnacentral:rRNA from 1 species
GACGAACGCUGGCGGCGUGCUUAACACAUGCAAGUCGAACGGAAAGGCCCUGCUUUUGUGGGGUGCUCGAGUGGCGAACGGGUGAGUAACACGUGAGUAACCUGCCCUUGACUUUGGGAUAACUUCAGGAAACUGGGGCUAAUACCUGAUAGGAGCUCCUGCUGCAUGGUGAGGGUUGGAAAGUUUCGGCGGUUGGGGAUGGACUCGCGGCUUAUCAGCUUGUUGGUGGGGUAGUGGCUUACCAAGGCUUUGACGGGUAGCCGGCCUGAGAGGGUGACCGGCCACAUUGGGACUGAGAUACGGCCCAGACUCCUACGGGAGGCAGCAGUGGGGAAUAUUGCACAAUCGGCGGAAGCCUGAUGCAGCAACGCCGCGUGCGGGAUGACGGCCUUCGGGUUGUAAACCGCUUUCGCCUGUGACGAAGCGUGAGUGACGGUAAUGGGUAAAGAAGCACCGGCUAACUACGUG